GGGUGUGUGGCGUAAUGGAGAACGCAUCUAACAACGGAUCAGAAAAUUCCGGUUCGAAUCCCGGUGCACUCC
rfam:Hydatigera taeniaeformis genome assembly, scaffold: TTAC_contig0011383